rnacentral:rRNA from 1 species
ACUCUACGGGAGGCAGCAGUGGGGAAUAUUGGACAAUGGGGAAACCCGUACGAUCCAGCAAUGCCGCGUGAGUGAUGAAGGCCUUAGGGUUGUAAAGCUCUUUUACCUAGGGAUGAUAAUGACAGUACCUGGAGAAUAAGCUCCGGCUAACUCCGUGCCAGCAGCCGCGGUAAUACGGAGGGAGCUAGCGUUGUUCGGAAUUACUGGGCGUAAAGCGCACGUAGGCGGUUACUCAAGUCAGAGGUGAAAGCCCGGGGCUCAACCCCGGAACUGCCUUUGAAACUAGGUAACUAGAAUCCUGGAGAGGUGAGUGGAAUUCCAAGUGUAGAGGUGAAAUUCGUAGAUAUUCGGAAGAACACCAGUGGCGAAGGCGGCGUCACUGGACAGGUAUUGACGCUGAGGUGCGAAAGCGUGGGAGCAAACAGGAUUAGAUACCCUGGUAGGUCAGUC